GUUUUCUUCAGUUCGGUAAAAGGACUAGCGACCCACCGAUCUCUCUCUCUCUCUUAACCCAUGCGAGCUGCCCCCACGUCCUCUGGUUUUGUUCCUUUCAUUUGGAGUUUCCUCCGAAGCUCUACCCCACGCCACAUGGCCGCGCCUCCACUUCACUCGGUCAACACCCCACCGAAAUCCCUCCCGGCUUUGGCUUCGUUGACCCGCGCCUCUACUCCACGCCUGCAAAACCCCAUCGAAGCAGCAUCCGUUUGAAGCAGUAUCCGUCCGAAGCUGCUCCGUCUUCGUUAUCUCCCCCUGCCGUCUCACGCUGCAGCUUCUCGGUCGGAUUGUUGACCGCAAGUUCCACGAUUGAUGGUCCACGACGCCACCUGGCCCAACGUCCGCGAGAAGCUUCAUCUUCGCUGCUUCGUGCGUCUCCAGCCACGACGUCCAGAGAAGCCCAGUGUCUUCGCAGCAUCACCGAGGUAGCAGUCUUCAUCGCCUUGGUCAGUAUUUCCUUGGUCUUCCUCAGCCACGCCAGUGAAGCCCCUACGAGCGCCAGUCCACCGAUCCUUCAACAAGCCCACGCACUCCAGUCCAUCUUCGCUUGAGUGUGUCUCGGCCCAGCAACAGCACUGACUGCCUUCCAUUGAUCGUGGGCUCAGCAAAUUGAAGCCCAACUCAGAUUCAGCUCAAAACUUCAGCAGCUCCUUUGGGCUUUUGUUCAGCCCAAUUUCGGCCCAAAAAGUCAGCAGUCCUCAGCCCAUUAAAUAAGUCCAGCAGUCCAAGUCUUGGUCAGCAGCAAGCCCACGCCUUUUAGAAGCCCAGCAGAAUAAGAAGCCCGCGAUUUUGAGGCCCAAGCCCGCGAAGUCAGCCCGCUUCAGGCCCAGUCCAAUUCAAAAGAAAAUCUCAGAUUGGAUUGAGAUUUGUUGGGCCUGUUUUAGGCCCGGGCCAAGUUCACUGACAUCGUCGAAAAUUUAGAUUUCGGCCGCCAUCGCGCCAUUGUCACGGUGAACCGGUUUCCGCAAUUAACCGGGUCAUCAAGUGGAGGACCGGGAGCCGAGAGGAAGUGAUGUGAAGUGUUGGUCAGCUAGGACCAACUCUUUUUGGAAAGUUGGUUUUUGUGGCCUUUUGGUCAUAGACCAUGUACUUGACAUUAUGUGAAAAUAAAAGCAUGUUUGUUCUGUGAA